CCUACGGGAGGCAGCAGUGGGGAAUAUUGGGCAAUGGAGGCAACUCUGACCCAGCAACGCCGCGUGAUUGAUGAAGGUCUUCGGAUUGUAAAGUUCUGUGAUGGGGGAUGAACACAAUGACGGUACCCCAAUAGCAAGCCACGGCUAACUACGUGCCAGCAGCCGCGGUAAUACGUAGGUGGCAAGCGUUAUCCGGAAUGACUGGGCGUAAAGGGGGCGUAGGGGGUUUAGUAAGUUGGCGGUGUAAUUCCGGGGCUCAACCUCGGCGCUACCGCCAAAACUAUUAGACUAGAGUGCAGGAGGGGGAAGUGGAAUUCCUAGUGUAGCGGUGGAAUGCGUAGAUAUUAGGAGGAACAUCAGGGGCGAAGGCGACUUACUGGACUGUAACUGACACUGAGGCACGAAAGCGUGGGGAGCAAACAGGAUUAGAUACCCUAGUAGUC
rnacentral:rRNA from 1 species